rfam:Candidatus Nanopusillus sp. Nst1 Nst1_C6, whole genome shotgun sequence.
GGGACCGUAGUCCAGCCUGGAAGGAUGUCGGUUUGGGGUACCGGUGGUCCCGGGUUCAAGUCCCGGCGGUCCCA